rnacentral:rRNA from 1 species
CCUUUGUACACACCGCCCGUCGCUACUACCGAUUGAAUGUUUUAGUGAGGUCUUCGGACUGGCCCAGAGAGGUGGGCAACUACCACUCAGGGCCGGAAAGUUAUCCAAACUCGGUCAUUUAGAGG